rnacentral:rRNA from 1 species
AGUGAACGCUGGCGGUAGGCCUAACACAUGCAAGUCGAACGGCAGCACAGUAAGAGCUUGCUCUUACGGGUGGCGAGUGGCGGACGGGUGAGGAAUACAUCGGAAUCUACUUUUUCGUGGGGGAUAACGUAGGGAAACUUACGCUAAUACCGCAUACGACCUACGGGUGAAAGCAGGGGAUCUUCGGACCUUGCGCGAUUGAAUGAGCCGAUGUCGGAUUAGCUAGUUGGCGGGGUAAAGGCCCACCAAGGCGACGAUCCGUAGCUGGUCUGAGAGGAUGAUCAGCCACACUGGAACUGAGACACGGUCCAGACUCCUACGGGAGGCAGCAGUGGGGAAUAUUGGACAAUGGGCGCAAGCCUGAUCCAGCCAUACCGCGUGGGUGAAGAAGGCCUUCGGAUUGUAAAGCCCUUUUGUUGGGAAAGAAAAGCAGCAGGUUAAUACCCCGCUGUUCCGACGGUACCCAAAGAAUAAGCACCGGCUAACUUCGUG